UACGUAGGAGGCAAGCGUUGUCCGGAAUCACUGGGCGUAAAGCGCGUGUAGGUGGUGGGACAAGUCUGCUGUGAAAGCCCCCGGCUCAACCGGGGAGGGUCGUCGGGGACCGCACCGCUUGAGGGCGGUAGGGGCUGGUGGAAUGCCUGGUGUAGUGGUGAAAUGCGUAGAGAUCAGGCGGAACACCUGUGGCGAAGGCGGCCAGCUGGGCCGUCCCUGACGCUGAGGCGCGAAGGCGUGGGGAGCGAACGGG
rnacentral:rRNA from 1 species